CGAAAUGCGAUAAGUAAUGUGAAUUGCAGAAUUCAGUGAAUCAUCGAAUCUUUGAACGCACAUUGCGCCCGCCAGUAUUCUGGCGGGCAUGCCUGUUCGAGCGUCAUUUCAACCAUCAAGCCCCCGGCUUGUGUUGGGGACCUGCGGCUGCCCGCAGGCCCUGAAAAACAGUGGCGGGCUCGCUGUCACACCGAGCGUAGUAGCAUACAUUCUCGCUCAGGGCGUGCUGCGGGUUCCGGCCGUUAAACGACCUUCAUAACCCAAGGUUGACCUCGGAUCAAGUAGGAAGACCCGCUGAACUUAAGC
rnacentral:misc_RNA from 1 species